CGUGUAGGUGGUCAGGUAAGUCAGAUGUGAAAGCCUUCUGCUUAACAGAAGAAGUGCAUUUGAAACUGCUUGGCUAGAGUACGGGAGAGGAGAGUGGAAUUCCCGGUGUAGAGGUGAAAUUCGUAGAUAUCGGGAGGAACACCAGUGGCGAAGGCGGCUCUCUGGUCCGAUACUGACGCUGAGACGCGAAAGCGUGGGGAGCAAACAGGAUUAGAUACCCUGGUAGUCCACGCCGUAAACGAUGGGCACUAGGUGUAGGAGGUAUUGACCCCUUCUGUGCCGAAGCUAACGCAUUAAGUGCCCCGCCUGGGGGGUACGGCCGCAAGGCUAAA
rnacentral:rRNA from 1 species